AUGGCUAAUUUCUCUUGUAUGACUACAGGUGGCAGUGUAGAAGCCAGGAACAAAAAUUGGCAGAAAUUAUAUUCUGUGUACGAGAAAAUGAAGAGUGUACUCAUGACUAAGCACAGGAACCUGGAAAACCACAGGCUUUAGUCAGGUGAUCGCUGAUGACUAGUCAGCCCACCAAGAAGGGAGUUCAGCACACAGGUAAGAGAGAAGCCGUGUCCUCUUCCAUGCAACUGGGGGAUGCGGGGUGGGGAGGUAAACAGCCCUAACAUUGUUUGCAUAGUUUAAAAAAAAAAAAAAAUACUCCUGACUUGCUUGGGUGCAUAACACUGUGAUUGUGUCUUAAAAUGCUGCUACUUUUGCUAUUCAGUCUUUUUCUUGCAUUUUUGUUUUUUAUUGUGUUUUGGUUUUUUUUUUUUUUCUUUUCUUUAAAUCUGUCUUUAAUUAGAAGCUUUAUUGGAAAAAAAAGACCAAUUGUGUGCUGCUAAAUAUAGUCCUGGGUAUUGCAUGAAUGUUGCAUUCUGCUACUUUUUGAAUAAAAUAACUUUCCAUAAUGCA
rnacentral:lncRNA from 1 species